CCCCUGGCCCAGGCCUUGGUCAGCAAAAGCGAGGAUAUGGGAAGCAGCACAGACAGGGAGUUGGUGGACCACCUGAAGGUCCUCUGGAACAAAACCAAACACAACAUGAAGUUCCCUUCGGACAGCACAAGCUCCAAGCUAAAAGAGAAAAUUCACUUGAUUACAGGUCUUCCACCUGCCAUGCAGAAAGUCAUGUGUAAGGGACUGGUCCCCAAGUACAAGAUAUUGAGAAUAGAACAUUGAGUAUAAGACCCAUUGAGAGAAAUAAAAGUGACCCGUAGGGCCAAGAUCAUGGUGGUUGGCUCCACAAUGCAGUGUUUAAGCAGUAAACCCACCCAAAGAUACUACACAGCAGGAUGCAAAUGCCAAAAAGAACGAGAAGGAGCCUCUCUGCAGGCAGAAACAACACAGAUAAGUGUUAAAUAAAGGAGAACCUGAAGAUAUGAUCUGUUAGGUGUGCCCAGGAACCCUUCCAACACUACCCCUGUCUGGCAAGUACAAUUAGUCUGGGGGAAAAGUGAGACUUCACUUAAGCUAGAACAAGGCCAGAUCAGCACUAAAGAUUCCUGGACAGAAGCAAACACGCCUAAUUCACCGGUUUCUGGCCAGCACUGUAGGUAUUCAGAGUUCAAGGGCAGAUUGAGAAAGUGCCCACGGGCUUCAUUAAAAAUGUGGUCAGCGAAACUAGGGUCAUGAAUACUACAACAUGGUGAUAUUUCAGUAGGGUCCCACAGGAGGCUCUUACUGCUGGAUUCCAACUCAACAUGUUGAUGCAAUCAAAAACACUGUGCUGGGAAAAUGACAGUGUUUUUGA
rnacentral:lncRNA from 1 species